rnacentral:rRNA from 1 species
CCUACGGGUGGCAGCAGUGAGGAAUAUUGGUCAAUGGACGAGAGUCUGAACCAGCCAAGUAGCGUGAAGGAUGACUGCCCUAUGGGUUGUAAACUUCUUUUAUAAAGGAAUAAAACGAGGCACGUGUGCCUUUUUGCAUGUACUUUAUGAAUAAGGAUCGGCUAACUCCGUGCCAGCAGCCGCGGUAAUACGGAGGAUCCGAGCGUUAUCCGGAUUUAUUGGGUUUAAAGGGAGCGUAGAUGGGAUGUUAAGUCAGUUGUGAAAGUUUGCGGCUCAACCCUAAAAUUGCAAUUGAUACUGGCAGUCUUGAGUACAGGUGAGGUAGGCGGAAUUCCUGGUGUAGCGGUGAAAUGCGUAGAUAUCAGGAAGAACACCGGUGGCGAAGGCAGCUUACUGAACUGUGACUGACAUUGAGGCUCGAAAGUGUGGGGAGCAAACAGGAUUAGAUACCCCUGUAGUC